GGAUGUACAGCCGUCUUACACUCAAUUUGCUCUGCUCUGCUGCAAGACAAUGCACGUCUCUACUGCAUGAUCCUUGUGCUCAAGGAAAAUGUGCCGUGGAACCAUUUCACCCAAUGGCAUCGUCCCUCAGGUCCAGAAUCGCUGCUGAGAAUGAAGGCCCCCCACUUAGUGUAUUUGACAAGCUGAGUGGGACACUCGGUAUGGUAGGGUGUCAGUUUGUCAAAUACCCCAAGUGAGAGGUCACUAAUCUCCAAGACCGUCUCCAAGUUCACGCAACGAUGCGGAAGAAGACUUUGCAGUCACAAUCCCCAACCCUGUGCUUGUGAUCUGAGGGUACUGUAAGUCUAAAUCAGGGUUUGGGUGGUGUUACCACACCCUUCUUCGCCAUAUUAAUUCCACUGAAUUGUUCCAAAGAAACAGCUUUGUGAUUAAUUUCAUGAAUUGCACAUUAAUUCGAAUUGCUCAGAUCACCUUAGAUGACGCUGACACAAGGAAGGGUCUUUGUAAUACGGUUGUGUAUCGGCAGUGCACUGUACUUGCAAAGCACUACGGCAAUGGAUUUUGAGUGGCUUGCAUUUUACCUGAAGAAACUGAUCAUGGUAAAACAGUUCAGUUAAUCAUUUUGGAGAUGACUGCGUGUAUGUGUGUGUGUGUGUGUAUUGUCAUGCCCCACUUGCAGUUUUACCCAUUACCUGGUAUGUUCUGCCUGCUUUGACUGUGCUAAUAGUGGAGGUGAGGUUGAGCUAAUUUGGAGAGAUUUAAUGUAUCUAGUCAGCAGGCUAUAUAGCCCUGAAUGGAAUGUACAUUGCAUAUAUGUAUGCUGUUUAUAAUAAAUACAAAUAAAAAUGUUGAAAUGAUAUAUUUUGAAGAAUAAAACAUGUUUAAAGUCUGUAAAA